rnacentral:rRNA from 1 species
GAUGAACGCUGGCGGCGUGCUUAACACAUGCAAGUCGAACGGUGGUAGCAAUAUCACAGUGGCGCACGGGUGAGGAACACGUAGCUUAUCUGCCCAGAAGCGCGGGAUAACGCUCCGAAAGGAGUGCUAAUACCGCAUAAGCUCCCGGACUACAGAGGUCGGAGAGAAAAGGCGCAAGUCGCUUUUGGAGGAGGCUGCGGCCCAUCAGGUAGUUGGUGUGGAAUGGCGCACCAAGCCGACGACGGGUAGGGGACCUGAGAGGGUGAUCCCCCACACUGGGACUGAGACACGGCCCAGACUCCUACGGGAGGCAGCAGUGAGGAAUAUUGCCCAAUGGAGGCAACUCUGAGGCAGCGACGCCGCGUGGGUGAUGAAGGCC